rnacentral:pre_miRNA from 1 species
AGAGGAAUUACUGGGUCAUAUUGUUAACUCUACAUUUAACUUUUUGAGAAAUUGCCACACUAUUUUCCAAUGCAGAUGUAUCAUUUUACAUUUCCAUUAGCAGU